AUAGCUUAAUAAUUCAGUCUGGAAGUGGAUUUUAUUUCACACCACUAAUUAACUGAUUGACAUCAUGAGCUCUAUAAAUAAUUAUGGAUAUGAACCUAACAGCAGCCAAAUAAUAUAUCAAAAUCUACACAGCACAGACCAACAGUCUCUUAAAAAUUUAAUAGCGGAGUUGACGAUGGAAGUGCGGGCUUUAAAGACAGAAGUGAAGGAGCUAAAGGAAGAAAACAAAAUAAAUUUGUUGAAGCUGACAGAGGAAGUUAUUGCGGUCAAAUUGGAAAACAGGGGAAAACCCUCUGAAAGUCAAAGCCCAGAAUUCGACCAACUACCAUUUUACCAUAAGAAGGAUCUUGACGAUUUCGAAGCACAGCUUUUACAAAAACCAGAGUUGUUGAAGAAAUUUAAUCAAGCGCAAAAAGGACCGCGAAAAAACACACGUCUGCUCGAUACGAGUGAUAGUCGGUGACUGACCCCUUAUCUAAGAGCAGCAAUCAGGCGUAUUUUUUCAGACGAGUUGGCAAUGUCUUUUUCGUGGAGGGGCACGGCAGAUAAGCCAAGCGCGGAAAAAUGUUUAGUUACAACAAUAAUAAAAAAUAUUUGCCAUGAAAUUUUUCAAGUGGACGAAAAAGCCGUUAGAUCAACGCUACAAAAACAUUUCGUUUAUGCAAACGAAAAAGUAAAAAAACGCCGUCUACCUUUGUCUGAAAAUAAAUGAUUGUAUUGAGCUGUAAGGAAAAACAU